UUAAAUUCCUAAAAAUUUGUGCAAGUUAUUCUAGAAUUAUAACAUUCCCUCGGAAAAGUGUGAAGAAAAAUACGUUUAAAAAAUCGUUUCAAAACGCUUCCAAGGAAAAAAUACAUUUUUUUCUUUUUUUAUUGAAUUAAAAGGAUAUUAUUAAGAUACACAUAUGUAGUUAUACACUGAUGACUUCCUUACAACAAAAUUAAUAAACCAAUUUACAUUUUAAUUGUGCGUAAACAUUGUUAAACGAAAUUUAGUACAACACAGUGAAGGCAGCUCCUUCACUUUCAUACAGAUCGUCUCAAAUGUAGGAAAUAACCCACAAAUCGAACAAUUAAUUAGAGAAAUCUGAUUGCUUCCAACCAGUGGCCGACGACUCAUCAUCGACAGGAAUUUCAGCCUCCGAGUAAACACACCGCAGAACAAACACUUUUUACACAACUAUUACUUUCGUCCAAAUUUGAAAGGCUCAUCUCUAGGUCGCAAAAGUGAAACGGGUGUUUAUGGACGUACACAAUUACUUAAUAGAAAAUUAAUUGCCCGAAAGCUCGGAAUUCCUUGGUAAUUAAAAAUGCACAAACUGAACGGGUUUUUGAUUUCCCGCGGUGAAAAUUUGAGUUAUUGUCGUUCGAAGUGCAGACGCGAUGAGUCGUUUCAAUUUCCUUUUCGUUCUGUUUAUGGUCGCGCUGGCGGAGAGCUCGCUGGUUGCGAGGUUCACGUCCAAUCCGUUUUUCCUGCGCCAUUUCAGCGGGGUUUAUGAGAGGCCAGCAUAUGUGCCAAUUUUGUCAAAUUCAGAAAUUCCGCUCUCUUCAAACGACAAUGAAGAAACAGAUCAGGAAGAAAACACGUUCGAGCCAACUGUCUUCAAUAGUGAAGAAAGCAGUGAAGAAGUUAGUGACAACACGGAACCAGUCAUACCAAUUUUUAAAAUCCUGCCACUGUACGAAAAAACUCAAGUUUUUCGAAAAAUUGAACCAAAAAUAACAAGUCGUGCCAACCAAAUAGCAGUGACUUAUUAUUUCAACAGUUUGCCACACUUUGAAAGCUCACACGUUUUCCGCACCGUGGUGGCCAGAAAUGAAGAACUUGGGGCUAAUUUUCGCAUUUUGCCUCACUUUGACGCCGCUCGUUUCGCAAGAAGAAGACUAGUUAGAGUAGUGAAGAAGAAAAAAGUGGAAUUUGGGCAAAGGCUCCGACCUCGCAUUGAGGAUUUUUCUUCAAUGCAAAAUUCGUUGUAACAAUAAUUUAAGUAAA